GUGGGAGAUCAAGAUUUGGCCACUCUGAAAUCUAUCUCUUUACCUUGGUUGCUUUCUCUAGGGACAUUUGACCUCCCACACUAACUGCCUAAAGAAUUUGACAUGGUGGCUCCUUCCUGGAACAGAUCUAUCAUGAUGGCUGUAAAGAUAAUGUAGGAUGGAGGUUACAAUAGGAAAGGCACCAACAAGCCCCUCUUAUCAGAAGUUCUGUCUCUCUGGCCACAUUCUCUGGAUGGCCCUGCGAGGUUUUGCCAGACAAUCAUUUACAUUUAUAAGGGAAAUCUCCAUUUGUAAAGGUAUCUCCCUCUCUGUUUUGGGAAGAGGGGGGGAUGGCCUCAUUUCUAGAGGCUUAUCAAUGUGGAAGGUGAGGCCUUAAAUCUGAAUAAUAACCUUACUCUUGUUUACUGUGCUUUAGUGGUAAUCUCCUGUAACUGACUCCCCCCCACCCCCAACAUCCUCCUUUGUCGUUGGCUGAACAUGGUAUUUAAGAUGAGAAUUUCUGCGAUUGUGUUGAGAAACGCAGCGUCCCUGCUUCCUCCCAUGUAUACAUGUUAUUAAACUUGGUAUUAUUUUCUCCUGCUAACCUGUCUUGUUGAUUAUUUGGCCAGCCAUAAGAACCUUAAGGAAAAGGGCACAGGGAGAUUCUCCCUCUUCCCCCGACAUGUCUAAUGAUCCUUGAUUCUUCAUUCACAUUGACUUAUACUCAUAAAAUUGAAGAUUUCCUGCAUUAAACUGCAAUGCUGACUGGAGCUGAAUCUCUUUAAGAGAUAACAGUUGAAAGGAAAGGAGAAAGAGACUUGAAUUGAAACAUUGACUCCUUCUGGAUAUCAAGCCAGCCAGUUCUUGGACUAGAACUACACCAUUGCCUUUCCUGGUUCUCAGGCCUUCAGACUCAGACUGGAACUACACCAUCGGCGUAGCUGGGUCUUCAGCUUGCCAAUUACAAAUCUUGGGACUUGUCA